GUUGACCUCGGAUCAGGUAGGAAUACCCGCUGAACUUAAGCAUAUCAAUACGG
rnacentral:rRNA from 1 species